rnacentral:rRNA from 1 species
UGUGUAGGUGGCAAGGUAAGUUAGGUGUGAAAUCCUCGGGCUUAACCUGAGAAUUGCGCUUAAUACUGCCUAGCUAGAGUACUGCAGAGGGUAGUGGAAUUUCCAGUGUAGCGGUGAAAUGCGUAGAUAUUGGAAGGAACACCAGUGGCGAAGGCGACUACCUGGAUAGAUACUGACACUGAGACACGAAAGCGUGGGUAGCAAACA